CUUCACCUGUGGAUUGCAAAGGAAGUGAGAACAUCCCCGAGCAAGACCAACAAUUGCUGGAUAAACACAAACCCCCUUGAGAAUCACUCCGACAGGUGCUGGCUCUUCACCUGGGGAUUGCAAAGCCUCACCGCCAUGGACAGUGUGCCCCUCAUCUGUGACUACGGCUCUGGCUUCAGCAAGGUGGGAUUCGCAGGAAUGGAAAGCCCAAUGGGCGUGUUCCCCACUGUCCUCGGGAAACUUCGGCACGAU